rnacentral:rRNA from 1 species
UAAGAGUUUGAUCAUGGCUCAGAUUGAACGCUGGCGGCGUGCUUAACACAUGCAAGUCGAGCGGUAACAGGCGUAGCAAUACGUGCUGACGAGCGGCGAACGGGUGCGUAAUACAUGGGAAUCUGCCCUUUGGUGGGGAAUAACCCGGCGAAAGCCGGGCUAAUGCCGCAUGAGAUCUUCGGAUGAAAGCGGGGGAUCGUAAGACCUCGCGCCGAUGGAUGAGCCCAUGUCGGAUUAGCUAGUUGGUGAGGUAACGGCUCACCAAGGCGACGAUCCGUAGCUGGUCUGAGAGGACGGCCAGCCACACUGGGACUGAGACACGGCCCAGACUCCUACGGGAGGCAGCAGUGGGGAAUAUUGGGCAAUGGGCGCAAGCCUGACCCAGCCAUGCCGCGUGAGUGACGACGGCCUUAGGGUUGUAAAGCUCUUUUGGCGGGGACGAUAAUGACGGUACCCGCAGAAUAAGCCCCGGCUAACUUCGUGCCAGCAGCCGCGGUAAUAC